GACGAACGCUGGCGGCGUGCCUAAUACAUGCAAGUCGAACGCUGAAGAGAGGAGCUUGCUCUUCUUGGAUGAGUUGCGAACGGGUGAGUAACGCGUAGGUAACCUGCCUUGUAGCGGGGGAUAACUAUUGGAAACGAUAGCUAAUACCGCAUAACAAUGGAUGACACAUGUCAUUUAUUUGAAAGGGGCAAUUGCUCCACUACAAGAUGGACCUGCGUUGUAUUAGCUAGUAGGUGAGGUAAUGGCUCACCUAGGCGACGAUACAUAGCCGACCUGAGAGGGUGAUCGGCCACACUGGGACUGAGACACGGCCCAGACUCCUACGGGAGGCAGCAGUAGGGAAUCUUCGGCAAGGGGGGCAACCCUGACCGAGCAACGCCGCGGGAGGGAAGAAGGGUUUCGGAUCGUAAAGCUCUGUUGUAAGUCAAGAACGGGUGUGAGAGUGGAAAGUUCACACUGUGACGGUAGCUGACCAGAAAGGGACGGCUAACUACGUG
rnacentral:rRNA from 1 species